rnacentral:rRNA from 1 species
CACUUAAUAAUAGCUAAAAUAAUUAACUAC